UAACCUCUCAAACACGCACAACCCAAGAUCCCUGCCCCCACCCUUUUUGCUUCAGUUCAACCACCAGAAUCGCCCACAUCUCCAUCAUCGGCGACCACCGUAGGCGGCGGUGGCGUGGUGGAGGUUGUCGGGUCGUUGUUCGAGCGAGAGAGAGAGGCGGAGUACCGAUGGCAGGGAUAGUACCGAUACCAGGUUCCGGCCUCCACCACGCCACUGAUGGCAGGGAUAGUACCGAUAGUAGGCGGCGGUGGGGGCUGAGGAGGUGGUGGGGAUUUUUAAGGUGCCGUUUACUGACGUGGCGAUGGCAGGGAUAGUACCGAUACCAGGAAGCAACUAAUAAAGAGGACACAGCAAGGUUUGCUCAGAUGUGGAAUAAAAUAAUUACAACUUUCAGGGAAGAAUAUUUGAUAAGCAAUAGGGAAAGGGACCUUUUACUCAUGCCAUGCCACUACUAGAAAAAUGGUCAUUUUGCUAACGUGGGGUUGGCAGGGAUAGUACCGAUACCAGGUUUCGACAGUUUUAGUUUCAAUCAGUUCUUGUUUUUGUUCUUCUUGUUGUUCGUCCACCACAGGUUCCGAUUUUAAUUGAAUGAAAGUCUGAAACUUGAUGUUUUUUAAUGCUCGGAAGGUGUUCGAUGAUUUGCCUGAAUGAAAUGGAAUUAUUUUCUCACUACUUGAGUUGCUGAUGUUGA